GUUGUUUACACAAGGAUGAAGGAAUUACCCAGUUUGUAGCUCUUGAGGAAGUAGAAUUGUGGAUUCCUUCACAUUCCCCAUUAUGUGCUGGGAAGUGAGGUCAUAGAGGCAAAAGAUGGACAGUAAAACAAAGAUUAAACCCCUUGCGUAUAGGGAUGAAUUUCAGGGCCAAUUGAAGAAUUAUAUGUCAGCUUAUUGUAGAACUUCCCGUUAAAUCUAUACUGAAUGAAUCCUCAAAAAGGCUUUGAGCUAGAUUGUAGGCAUAAAUUUUUUGCAACCUACUUUUAGUAAGGGUUCAAUCUCUCUUAUAGCCCACCACCCAGCAGAGAUACUGGAAAAGAAAAGUUAUUAGGAGGCGAGCAAAGUGGACCUGUUUGGCAAUGGUUCUUUGGGGGCAAUAUUGAUUUUUGGCCGCAGUUCAGUCCUGUAGCAAACACCAAAUAUGACUCAGCAGCUACAGGCCGGUCCUCUAGGCAAGCAGACUCCAUCUACAAACUGACAGCUACAGUUCAGUCCUUUAAGCAAGCAAACACCAGGCAGCUGUAGUUCAAUCCUGAAGAAAGCGCCAGGCUUACCAACUGGCCUAAGCCAAGGCCAUAAAAGCAGCAAGCUGCCACAGGAACCUCAGGAGCAGUUCUUGGAAUAAUGCCAGAGCAGUCUGACCCCCAAAGGACACAUUAGCACUUCGAGACCUAUUUCCUGUUCUUCUUUCCUCAUACUGCAGCAAACAUCCACUGGAACAUGAGACACUUAUUAUGGCCGCACCCUCAAAGAAGAAUAAUUGUCCUUCUCCCAGCAGCUGUCAACUGCCAAUUGUUCCUCAGGGAGAAAUGGGGCACGGAGAGCAUCUCUCCUUACAUGUUGGUGAUUUAACUGGCUUAGUGUUGUACAGGUCUUUUGCAGGUAAACAAAUCUACUAUGAAUUCUUGAAUAAAAUAUCGAUUAUGUUCAGAAGACAGUACUUCACUUCAUUCAUUUCUCCCCAUUCUUCAGUUUUGUUUAUUUUAAGUUAUUUUAUUAUUUAAAAAUUGUGUAUGUGGUGGUUUGAAUGAGAAGGCCCUAUAGGCUCAUGCUUGCUUCCUGCGUUAUUCCUGCUUAUUACACUCUUCAGGAAGAAUCACGGGAUGUGGUCGUACUAGAGGAGGUGUGCCGCCAGGCUCAUUUUGUUAACU